rnacentral:rRNA from 1 species
GACGAACGCUGGCGGCGUGCUUAACACAUGCAAGUCGAACGGAAAGGCCCUGCUUUUGUGGGGUGCUCGAGUGGCGAACGGGUGAGUAACACGUGAGUAACCUGCCCUUGACUUUGGGAUAACUUCAGGAAACUGGGGCUAAUACCGGAUAGGAGCUCCUGCUGCAUGGUGGGGGUUGGAAAGUUUCGGCGGUUGGGGAUGGACUCGCGGCGUAUCAGCUUGUUGGUGGGGUAGUGGCUUACCAAGGCUUUGACGGGUAGCCGGCCUGAGAGGGUGACCGGCCACAUUGGGACUGAGAUACGGCCCAGACUCCUACGGGAGGCAGCGGUGGGGAAUAGUGCACAAUGGGCGGAGGCAUGAUGUAGCAACGCCGCGUGCGGGAUGACGGGCUGCGGGUUGUAAACCACUUUUGCCUGUGACGAAGCGAGAGUGACGGUAAUGGGUGAAGAAGCACCGGCUAACUACGUG